rnacentral:lncRNA from 1 species
GUUUUGGGACCACAAAUUCGACGUUACAAUAAUUAUUUUAUGAUCAUUUUGAGGUCUAGGAUAUGAGAAUAAGCAUGUGUUAAAGUUUCCUGAAGAAAUUCUAUGUGCAAGGUGUCCAAUUGGAAAUUAGCGACCAAUUUGAAUAGAUUGCAAAACUUGGGUUCUAGAAGCAAUUUGUAUGAAAUUGCUUUGGAAUAUUAAUUAGAGGUCCUU